rnacentral:rRNA from 1 species
AGAGCGAACGCUGGCGGCAGGCCUAAUACAUGCAAGUCGAACGGAUCCUUCGGGAUUAGUGGCGGACGGGUGAGUAACACGUGGGAACGUGCCCUUUGGUUCGGAACAACUCAGGGAAACUUGAGCUAAUACCGGAUGUGCCCUUCGGGGGAAAGAUUUAUCGCCAUUGGAGCGGCCCGCGUCUGAUUAGCUAGUUGGUGGGGUAAAGGCCCACCAAGGCGACGAUCAGUAGCUGGUCUGAGAGGAUGAUCAGCCACACUGGGACUGAGACACGGCCCAGACUCCUACGGGAGGCAGCAGUAGGGAAUCUUGCGCAAUGGGCGAAAGCCUGACGCAGCCAUGCCGCGUGAAUGAUGGAAGGUCUUAGGAUUAGUAAAAUUCUUUCAGCGGGGACGAUAAUGACGGUACCCGCAGAAGAACGCCCCGGCUAACUUCGCGCCAGCAGCCGC